CAGUAGCCGCGGGAAUACGUAGGGUGCAAGCGUUAAUCGGAAUUACUGGGCGUAAAGCGUGCGCAGGCGGUUCGCUAGACAGAUGUGAAAUCCCCGGGCUUAACCUGGGAACUGCAUUUGUGACUGGCGGGCUAGAGUAUGGCAGAGGGGGGUAGAAUUCCACGUGUAGCAGUGAAAUGCGUAGAGAUGUGGAGGAAUACCGAUGGCGAAGGCAGCCCCCUGGGCCAAUACUGACGCUCAUGCACGAAAGCGUGGGGAGCAAACAGGAUUAGAGACCCCUGUAGUCCCUGUCUCUUAUACA
rnacentral:rRNA from 1 species